AAGGUUUCCGUAGGUGAACCUGCGGAAGGAUCAUUACCGAGUUUUCGGGCUUCGGCUCGACUCUCCCACCCUUUGUGAACGUACCUCUGUUGCUUUGGCGGCUCCGGCCGCCAAAGGACCUCCAAACUCCAGUCAGUAAACGCAGACGUCUGAUAAACAAGUUAAUAAACUAAAACUUUCAACAACGGAUCUCUUGGUUCUGGCAUCGAUGAAGAACGCAGCGAAAUGCGAUAAGUAAUGUGAAUUGCAGAAUUCAGUGAAUCAUCGAAUCUUUGAACGCACAUUGCGCCCCUUGGUAUUCCGGGGGGCAUGCCUGUUCGAGCGUCAUUACAACCCUCAAGCUCUGCUUGGAAUUGGGCACCGUCCUCACUGCGGACGCGCCUCAAAGACCUCGGCGGUGGCUGUUCAGCCCUCAAGCGUAGUAGAAUACACCUCGCUUUGGAGUGGUUGGCGUCGCCCGCCGGACGAACCUUCUGAACUUUUCUCAAGGUUGACCUCGGAUCAGGUAGGGAUACCCGCUGAACUUAAGCAUAUCAAU
rnacentral:rRNA from 1 species